rnacentral:lncRNA from 1 species
AGAAGAGCUGAGCGGGGGGCUGAGCUGUCCCCAGUUGCUGCAAUCCUGGGGCCAGGGCUCGCUAACGCAAGGCGGACCGACCCGUGUGCCCUGCAGCAGCCUCUGGCCCCGGGGCAGGGCUCUCGGCAGGACUUCUGGAAGGGAAACCUGGACUGGAGCCACCCCGGGGCAAAGGGAACGCUGCGCGCCAGGCGCAUCCUCGCGGCUCAGCCUCCAUCUCCCCGCAUCUCCGGGAUGUCAACAAACGCCGACCACAAAGUGAAACUUUCCGGGCCCCCACUGUCGCGCUGGGUCUCUGCCCUCCGCCCGGGAGCGCGUCGCGGGCACAGGUCUCCCGCGGUGCGUACCGCGCGUCCUUCCUAAUCCGGGAUGGCUGGGAGCCCUCUAUGGCCGGAGGAACCAGGAAUCAGACUCAGACUACAUGGUGGAUUGUCCUUAUUCAGCCGUGGACACAUCUAUGGGAGAAAACCAAACCAGAAUGGGCCAGGCUCUGUAUAAACAGAGGAGACCCCAAAAUUGUGAUCUGCAACAGAAAAGGAGCCACCAACCCGGAUGCAUCUGCGACGGAUCCCAGGGUGCUUUAUCCACACGCUGGAUUCGCUCCCUGGUUAGCAAGAGUGAUGUGUGUGCAGAGAGUCUAGUAGUUGAGAAGUGAGGUUAGGGCGUUAGGGUUGUUCCAACAGAGAAAAUGAGGGAUGCUGAACUAAGUGGCCCUUCUCCUCCAGCACUUACCUCUCCACACCCUCCCUCUGUAUCUCCCACCUCUCCUUCUACGCUGGUGCCAGUACCCUCAGCCUAUAAACAAAGAUCAAGUCUCUCCCAGCAUGGAUAAACUGAGACCCAGCAAUUUCACUCCUAAGUAUGUACUCUGGGAAAUUGAAAACAUACCUAUGCAAAAACUUGUACACAGAUGUUCACAGCCUGUUCAUAAUGGCCAAAACUUGGAACAGUUAGAAGGCCCAUCAUUCGAUGAAAGGGUGAAUUAUGGCUUAUCCAUACAAUGGAACAUGACCAGACCAUAAAAGGGAAUGAAGUAAUAUGGAUGAACAUUGAAAACUAAGAAAGCCAGACAUGAAUAACCACACAGCGUAUGAGUCCAUUUUUAUGAAAUGUCUGGAAUAGGCAAAUCUACAGAAAGUAGAUGAAUGGCCACCAGGGCCUGGGAGUGAGAGAAAAUAGGGAGUGACUGCUAAUGGACAUGGGGCUUCUUGGGGUGUGAUGAAAAUGUUCUGAAACUAGAUGGAAGUAAUGACUGUACAACUUUUGUGAAUACACUAAAAAACCACUGAAUAAUACAGUUU